rnacentral:lncRNA from 1 species
AACACAGACAUUGACCUUAUUUUCCUGAUUCAUUAGACAAUGUUUAGUACUUGUAGUUUGAUCUAUUUCUCAGCUACUCUAAGCAAUGAGGCAACUUUUUGUGUGUAUGGGAUGAACAUUAGGUGAACAUGUCUGUCAGACAGGUUUCAUAUGACCUAGGCCUAAUUUCAUGGUUGAUUGGAAUUUGGUGGAUGUUAAGUUUUCAUGGUUUUGUCAGUUUAUUCUCGACUAUAAGCAAUAGAUCAAUUAUAUAUUGUUAGGUCUAUAUUUGAAAUGGUUAAUAGCAUUGAUCUCAUUUUCAUUUAUCAUUCAUUAUGUUGUAAGUAAAACUUUUGAAUUACAGACUUAUCAAGGAAUGAUAUGAUAUAUGGUCUGGAAAUUUAUUAUGCUGUUUUACUGUGAUAUUUUUAGUUAUGCCAGUGAGUCACUCUCUUUCUAAUAAAGAGAACAGGUAUUAUUAGCAGACCGACAUAUCCAACCUCAGGGUUUUUGUUAUUUUUGAAAAUUUGGUGUUGAUCAUAUCUUUAAAAUUUAUUUUAGAGCUUGAUGUAUUGUAUAGAGAUUUGUCUAUCGCUGGUUACUGUAAGUUGACUUUUCCAGAUCCAUUUUGGUUGUUUGUAACAUAGUGGGUUAAUUAGUGUGUUAUAUCCAACAUCUCUGUUUAUUCAUAUACAUGACAAACAAUCCUACAAGGAAUGUAAGCUUUCAGACAUGCAGUCUUGAAAAAGAAGCAAUGAUCACAAAUGUGCACACAUUGGAAGGUUUUACUAUAAUUAUCACAUACAUUUAUUAUCAAUAAGUUGACCCAUGUAAAUGAAGUCUGGUUUGGAUGAACCCUUUCUGACAUAUAAGGUCAUCUUACAAUCAUUACACACACCAAAUAAAGUUCUGCUUAUAUCUGAGAAACAGACAUAUUUAUGAAAAUGUAAUAUGGACAAAUGAACCAUGAAAAUGAGGUCAAGGUAAGAUAUUACCUGCACCUUGACAUUGUACACCUUACUAUCAUUCCAUGUUGACGUACUGCUUACAGUAUCUAAACUAGAGGCUCUCAAGAGCCUGUAUCGCUCACCUGACUACUUUGGUUUUUGAAAUCAUAUAAAAAC